UCCGACGCCGGUGAACAAAAGCUC
rnacentral:siRNA from 1 species